CACAAUGGGCGCAAGCCUGAUGCAGCGACGCCGCGUGGGGGAUGAAGCCCUUCGGGUUGUAAACUCCUUUCGCUAUCGACGAAGCCACUUGUGGUGACGGUAGGUAGAUAAGAAGCACCGGCUAACUACGUGCCAGCAGCCGCGGUAAUACGUAGGGUGCAAGCGUUGUCCGGAAUUACUGGGCGUAAAGAGCUCGUAGGUGGUUUGUCGCGUCGUCUGUGAAAUCCCGGGGCUUAACUUCGGGCGUGCAGGCGAUACGGGCAUAACUUGAGUGCUGUAGGGGAGACUGGAAUUCCUGGUGUAGCGGUGAAAUGCGCAGAUAUCAGGAGGAACACCGAUGGCGAAGGCAGGUCUCUGGGCAGUUAC
rnacentral:rRNA from 1 species